AGGAUCCAAAUCUUAGUCUGAUGAAUCUUUCUCCUAAGAUACCAAAAAAGCAAGACCUAGUCUGAUGAACCUUCUCCUAGGAUCAAAAUCUUAGUCUGACGAAUUUUCCUCCUAAGAUAGAGACCUAGUCUGAUGAACCUUCUCCUAGGAUCCAAAUCUUAGUCUGAUGAAUCUUUCUCCUAAGAUACCAAAAAGAAAAGACCUAGUCUGAUGAGCCUUCUCCUAGGAUCAAAAUCUUAGUCCGAUGAAUUUUUCUCCUAAGAUAGAGACCUAGUCUGAUGAACCUUCUCCUAGGAUCAAAAUCUUAGUCUGACGAAUCUUUCUCCUAAGAUACCAAAAAACAAGACCUAGUCUGAUGAACCUUCUCCUAGGAUCAAAAUCUUAGUCCGAUGAAUUUUUCUCCUAAGAUAGAGACCUAGUCUGACGAACCUUCUCCUAGGAUCCA
rnacentral:lncRNA from 1 species